GUAUGUGGUUUAAUUCGAUGCAACGCGAAGAACCUUACCUGGUCUUGACAUCCCGGAGACCCUUAGGAAACUAGGGGGUGGCUUCCAUCUGGAAGAAUCUGGAGACAGGUGCUGCAUGGCUGUCGUCAGCUCGUGUCGUGAGAUGUUGGGUUAAGUCCCGCAACGAGCGCAACCCUUGCCUUUAGUUGCCAGCAGUUCGGCUGGGCACUCUAAAGGGACUGCCGGUGUUAAACCGGAGGAAGGUGGGGAUGACGUCAAGUCCUCAUGGCCUUUAUGACCAGGGCUACACACGUACUACAAUGGCCGAUACAAAGGGCAGCGACACUGCGAGGUGAAGCCAAUCCCGUAAAAUCGGUCUCAGUCCGGAUUGGAGUCUGCAACUCGACUCCAUGAAGUUGGAAUCGCUAGUAAUCGUGGAUCAGCAUGCCACGGUGAAUACGUUCCCGGGCCUU
rnacentral:rRNA from 1 species